rnacentral:rRNA from 1 species
UACGUAGGGGGCAAGCGUUGUCCGGAUUUAUUGGGCGUAAAGAGCGUGUAGGCGGCUAGGUAGGUCCGUUGUGAAAACUCGAGGCUCAACCUCGAGACGCCGGUGGAAACCAUCUAGCUAGAGUCCGGAAGAGGAGAGUGGAAUUCCUGGUGUAGCGGUGAAAUGCGCAGAUAUCAGGAAGAACACCUGUGGCGAAGGCGGCUCUCUGGUACGUGACUGACGCUGAGACGCGAAAGCGUGGGGAGCGAACAGG